GACGAACCGUGCGAACGUUGUUCGGAUUCACUGGGCUUAAAGGGUGCGUAGGCGGUCGCGCAAGUCGGAUGUGAAAUCUUAGGGCUCAACCCUGAAACUGCAUUCGAUACUGCGUGGCUCGAGUACUGGAGAGGAGACUGGAAUUUACGGUGUAGCAGUGAAAUGCGUAGAUAUCGUAAGGAAGACCAGUGGCGAAGGCGAGUCUCUGGACAGUUACUGACGCUGAGGCACGAAGGCCAGGGGAGCAAACGGG
rnacentral:rRNA from 1 species